GCCCAGACUCCUACGGGAGGCAGCAGUGGGGAAUAUUGCACAAUGGGCGCAAGCCUGAUGCAGCCAUGCCGCGUGUAUGAAGAAGGCCUUCGGGUUGUAAAGUACUUUCAGCGGGGAGGAAGGCAAUACGGUUAAUAACCGUGUUGAUUGACGUUACCCGCAGAAGAAGCACCGGCUAACUCCGUGCCAGCAGCCGCGGUAAUACGGAGGGUGCAAGCGUUAAUCGGAAUUACUGGGCGUAAAGCGCACGCAGGCGGUCUGUCAAGUCGGAUGUGAAAUCCCCGGGCUCAACCUGGGAACUGCAUUCGAAACUGGCAGGCUGGAGUCUUGUAGGGGGGGGUAGAAUUCCAGGUGUAGCGGUGAAAUGCGUAGAGAUCUGGAGGAAUACCGGUGGCGAAGGCGGCCCCCUGGACAAAGACUGACGCUCAGGUGCGAAAGCGUUGGGAGCAAACAGGAUUAGAUACCCGGGUAC
rnacentral:rRNA from 1 species